AGUGAGUUGUAAAUAAUUCACUGCCACCAGAAGCCCAGAGUGCACAAACCUGAGGAGCAAAGCAAUCUCUUCCUUGGCUCCACAGGUUGCAACACCUCUUUGGUUCUGCAGGCAAGGCUGCCUAGCACAGGACUUCAGGGGACAAUCUGCAGGUUAUGGAAGAUUCAGAACUGGAGAAAAAAUUCAUCUCAGGAAGAAUCUGUCUUGAGUCUCACUCAUACCUGAUUUAGACAAUGUUUAAAUGAGACUUUGGACUUGGAGUUGAUGCUGAAAUAAGGCUCUGAGCUCACCCCUAUGGCCCCAGGCUCCAGGACUGCCCAGCACACCCAGGUUCCAGACACACUGCAGCACCAGACCAGCCCUCAUGGCUCCAGGCUCCAGGCCAAUCUCAGCACCAGGCUGAUGACGGCCCUAGACUAGCAAACCCAUGAUCCAGGCCUGUCUCCGUAAACUUUGGCACUUGCCAGCCACCAUGGAUCUAGGCUACACAUCCUGCCCCUACAGUCUCAGAUUCCAGGCCAGCCUUUAUGGAAGCAAGACCCUGUAACCUUCCCCCAUGGUCCAAGGCUAUAAGCUCACCUAAUAGGAACCCAGACUGGCCCCCCCAUGGACACAGGAUCAGGCUUGUUUCCAUGGAUCUGGUGCUAAGCUCACUCUGAUUCCAGGCUGGUGAUUGCAGACUCAAGCUCAAAGCUUAUUCCAUUGCCAGGUCUCCCACGAUGGACCCAGGCUUCAGGCUAGCCAUUCAGUAGUCAGACCCACUGUAUUAGUCCAUUUUUACACUGCUCUAAAGAACUGCCCAAAACUGGGUAAUUUAUAAAAGAAAGAGUUUUAAUUGACUCACAAUUCCGCAUGGCUUAGGGAGGCUUUGGGAUACUUAAAAUCAUGGCAGAAGGGGAAGCAGGAAUGUCUUAUAUGGUGGCAUGUGAGAGAGCAUGUGAAGGACGAACUGUCAAAUACUUAUAAAACCUUCAGAUUUCAUAAGAACUCAUUCACUAUCAUGAAAACAGCAUGGGGGAAACUGGCCCCACGAUCCAUUUACUUCCCACCAGGUACCUCCCUUGACACAUAGGGAUUAUGGGUAUUACCAUUCAAGAUGAGAUAUGGAUGGAGACACAGAGCCAAGCCAUAUCACCCACCAUAUGAAACCUAGUGAAAGGCCGUCCCCUGUAGACCCAGGAUCUAGCCCAAUACCCACAGAUGUAGACACCAGGACCACCUACAUUGACCCAAAAUCCAGGCCCAUGGAGUGGACCCAGGACCUGGCUCAACCCUGGAGACCCAAGCUCCAGAGAAACCUGCUCACUGACCCAAGCACCAGGCCAGUCUACCUGAAGACUUCAGCAGCAGUCUCUGGACAGGCUGCCUGAUAAGGGCUUUUCCUGCUAAAUCCAGUCUGUAAAGACUGGAAAAUGUGCCUACUUCAAAUGCACAGAACCAGUGCAAGAGCACAAGGAUCACAAAUAAUCAGGAAAACAUAACACCACCAAAGAAACAAAAUAAAGCACCAAUAACUGAACCUAAAAAAUAUCUGACAAAGGAUUCAAAAUAAUCAUUUUAAAACAGCUCAGUGAGCUACAAGAGAAUACAUAUAGAUAUAUAAACAAAAAAAUUAGGAACACAAAACAUGAACAAAAUGAGAAGCUGAACAAAGAGAGAGAAACCAUAAAAAAGAAUGAAACAAAUUCUGGAGCUGAAGCACACAAUGAUUAAAGUAAAAAAUUCCAUAGAGAUUCACUCAAGUAGAAGAAUCAGUGAGCUGCCAGACAUGUUCUUUGCAACUACCCACAUAUAGAAACAAAAAGAAAAAAGAAUGAAAAAGAAUGAAAAAGACUAUAAACUUAUGGGGCACCAUCAAACGAAUAUUCUCAUUGUGGGAGUUUUAAGAAGUAAGAGAGAAAGACAAAAGGGCAGAAGACUUAUUUAAAUAAAUAAUAAUAGAAAAUUUUCCAAAUCUGGAAAGGGAAAUUAGUAUUUAGAUUAAAUGUAAAGAAAUUUUCAGUUAGAUACAUUAUAAUGAAAUUUUCAAAAGUCAAAGGAAGAGAGAAUUUUGGAAGCAGAAAAAAAAAAGUGAAAAGAACCUUGUUGACUGCAAGAAAAUCUUAAAAUGGCCAUCAGAGGACUGCUCAGUAGAAACUGAAGAGUAGGAGAAAGUGAGAUGGCUUAUUCACAGUGCUGAAAGGAUAAAACUGCCAAACAAAAGUAGUAUAUCUAGCCAAGAUUUUCUUCAAAAAUGAGGAAGAGAUACAGGCUAUUCCAGACAAGUAAAAGUGGAGGAGUUCACGACCACUAGACCUGCCUUAAAAGAAGAGUUGAAGGAAAUUAUCAAAGUUGAAAAAGGACACUAAUUAACUACAUGAAAGUAUAAAACUCACUGUAAAGGUUGGAAUACAGUCAAAUUUACAAUAUCUGAUACUGUGUAAUGGUGGUGUGUAAAUCAAUUUUAACUCUAUUUUAAACUUAAAAGACAAAAGUAAUAAAACCAACUACAGAUACAAUACUUUGUUAGUUGAUACAAAAUAUAAAAAGAUGUAAAUUGACACAAAUAACAUAAAAUCUUGGGGGAAGAGAUGAUAAAUUGUAGAAUUUUUGUGUCAAGUUAAGUUGUUAUUAAAAUAGACUGUUACAAGAUGCUUCGUGAACACCUUAUGGUAAACACACACAAAAAAAUAUGUAUCAGCUAUACAAAAGAUAAAGAGAAAAAAUCACAACAUACAACUACAAAAGUCAUGAAGUCAUACAGGAAGACAAAAAGAGAGAAAGAAGAAAGAAAAUAAAGGGAGAAAGAAGAAAGAAAACAAGAAAGAAAGAAAAAGAAAGGAAAGAAAGAAAGAAAAAGAAAGAAGGAAGGAAGGAAAAGAAACUUCAAAACAUUCAGAAAAAAAUAACAAAAUGGCAAUUGAAGGUACUCAUCUGUGAAGAAUUAUUUUAAAUGUAAUGUUAUUCUUCCUUUUUUAAUUUUUUUUUUUUUUUUGAGAUUGAAUCUUCCUCUUGUCACCCAGGCUGGAGUACAGUGGUGUGAUCUGGGCUCACUGCAACCUCCGCCUCCUGGGUUCAAACAAUUCUCCUGCCUCAGCCUCCCGAGUAGCUGGGAUUACAUGUGCUGCCACCAUGACCAGCUAAUUUUUGUAGUUUUAGUAGAGAAGGGCUUUCACCAUGUUGGCCAGGCUGGUCUUGAACUCCUGACCUCAAGUGAUCUGCUUGUCUCAGCCUCCCAAAGUGCUGGGAUUACAGGCGUGACCAUGCCUGGCCUAAAUUCUUCAAUCAAAAGGCAUAAAGUGGUUAAAUUGAUUAUAAAGAAAUUUUAAAAGACACAAAUAAAUGAAAGGAUAUCUCAUAUUUCUGGAUUGGAAAGAUUCUUAUUGUUAAAAUGUUCAUACUACUCAAAGUGAUCUAGACUUAAUACAGUUGCCAUCAAAAUCCCAAUGAAAUUAUUUUGCAGAUAUAGGAAAAACAAUCCUACAAUUCAUGUGGAAUCAUAAAGCAUCCAUAAUACCUAAAGAAACCUUGAGAAGAACAAAUCUGGAGGCAUCUGAAUUCAAAAUAAACUACAAAGCUACAGAAAUAAAAAUAGUAUAGUAUCGGCAUUAAAGCAAGUACAUAGACCAAUGGAAAAGAAUAGAGAGCCCAGAAAUAAGCCCAAACUGAAAAAGUCAACUAAUUUUUGUCAAGGGUAUUAAUAACACACAAUGGGGGAAAAAAGUCUCUUCCAUAAAUAGUGUUAGAAAAUCUGGAUAUCCAUAUGCAGAAGAAUGAAAUAAGACCCUUAUCUCACACAAUAUUAAAAAAAAUCAACUCAAAAUGGUUUGAAGACUUAAAAGUAAUGGCUGAAACUGUUCAAAUUACUGGAAGAAAAUGUAGGGAGAAAGCUUCAUGACAUUGGUCUGGGUAAUUACUUUUUUGGAUAAGACCCCAAAACCACAAGCAACAAAAGCAAAAAAUAGACAAAUGGGAUUGCAUCAACCAAAAAGCUCUGCACUACAAAGGAUAUAAUCAACAGAGUAAACAGACAACCUAAAAGAUGAGAGAAAAAAUAUUUGUAAACCACAUGUCUGAUAAGGAAUGAAUAUCCAAAAUAUAUAGUGAACUCAAACAACUCAAUCGCAAAAAACCCUCCCCAAUAGCUCGUUAAAAAAUGAGUGAAGAACCUCAGUAGACAUUUCUCAAGAGAAGAUAUCCAAAUGGCCAACAGGUAUAUGAAGAAAUGUUCAGCAUCACUAAGCAUCAGGGAAAUGCAAAUCCAAACCACAAUGAGUUAUCACCUUACACCUGGUAAAAUGGCUACUACUAUUUUUAAAAAGAUAGCAUAUAUUGGGGAGGAUAUGAAGACUAGGGAACCCUUGUACACUGCUGGUGGGAAUGUGAAUUGGCACAGUCACUAUGGAAAGUAUAGAAGUUCCUAAAAAAUUUAAAAAUAAAAGUACCAUAUAAGCUAGUCAUUCCUCUUCUGGGUAAAUAUCCAAAGGAAAUUAAAUCAGCAUCUCAAAAAGAUGUUUGCACUCCAUAUUCAUUACAGCAUUAUUCACAAUAGCCAAAAUAUGGAAUCAACUGGAGCUGAUUAAAUCUAUUUGGAAUUAAUUUAAGACUGAAGAUUUUAAUAUUAUAUAUAUAUAUAUAUAUGUAUAUAUAUAUACACACACACACAAAAUCUGAUAUUACUGAGCCUUAAAAA
rnacentral:lncRNA from 10 species